UACAGAGGUCCCGAGCGUUGUUCGGAUUCACUGGGCGUAAAGGGUGCGUAGGCGGUUGGGUAAGUCUGUCGUGAAAUCUCCGAGCCUAACUCGGAAACUGCGUCGGAUACUAUUCAACUCGAGGAAUGGAGGGGAGACUGGAAUUCUCGGUGUAGCAGUGAAAUGCGUAGAUAUCGAGAGGAACACCAGUGGCGAAGGCGAGUCUCUGGACAUUUCCUGACGCUGAGGCACGAAAGCCAGGGGAGCAAACGGG
rnacentral:rRNA from 1 species